UACGUAGGUGGCAAGCGUUGUCCGGAUUUACUGGGCGUAAAGAGCGCGCAGGCGGUCGUUCAAGUCGCGUGUGAAAGCCCCCGGCUCAACUGGGGAGGGUCACGCGAUACUGAUCGACUCGAAGGCAGGAGAGGGUAGUGGAAUUCCCGGUGUAGUGGUGAAAUGCGUAGAUAUCGGGAGAACACCAGUGGCGAAGGCGACUACCUGGCCUGUUCUUGACGCUGAGGCGCGAAAGCUAGGGAGCAACGGG
rnacentral:rRNA from 1 species